GCCGGGAUAGCUCAGUCUGGUAGAGCAGCUCACUCGUAAUGAGCAGGCCAGGGGUUCGAGUCCCCUUCCCGGCUCCA
rnacentral:tRNA from 1 species